GACGAACGCUGGCGGCGUGCUUAACACAUGCAAGUCGAACGGUAAGGCCCUUCGGGGUACACGAGUGGCGAACGGGUGAGUAACACGUGGGUGAUCUGCCCUGCACUUCGGGAUAAGCCUGGGAAACUGGGUCUAAUACCGGAUAGGACCCUGGGAUGCAUGUCCUGGGGUGGAAAGCUUUUGCGGUGUGGGAGUGGGCCCGCGGCCUAUCAGCUUGUUGGUGGGGUGAUGGCCUACCAAGGCGACGACGGGUGGCCGGCCUGAGAGGGUGACCGGCCAGGCUGGGACUGAGAUCCGGCCCAGACUCGUACGGGUGGGAGCAGGGGGGAAUAUUGCACAAUGGGCGCAAACCUGAUGCAGAGGCGCCGCGUGAGGGAUGAGGACCUUCGGGUUGUAGAACUCUUUCCGCACCGACGAAGCGCAAGUGACGGUAGGUGCAGAAGAAGGACCGACCAACUACGUGACAGCCGCCGCGUAA
rnacentral:rRNA from 1 species